rnacentral:lncRNA from 1 species
GUUGCAGCACAGCGCAGCGCUCCUGGAGAGGCUGUGGGUUCGUGGCAUCCGCGCCGCGGCCGCAAGUAUAGCAGGUUUCGUACCUGGUGUUCAUCGCCGUUAAGUCAUCGCUGCUGCCACCCAGGCACGGCUCUCUAUGCCGCCGCUCCCUCCACCCUCUAGGCACUGCCUGCCGUAAGAAUUUUAACUGCGACACUCGCUUCAGCAGGAGAUUUUAUUGGCUGCAGACACACGCAGCAUCUUCUUGCGCUCCUCCUUGAGGUGGAUGGGCAGCUAGCUGGAGAUGACACAGGAUGAUGCGCAUCUUUCGCACGCUGGCUCCAAGAUCUCCGCUGCCAGAUGCAGCAACAAAGCUUCUUUGUACAGACAGCCCUGGACACACUUCCAGCAGCAAUUCUUCUUGCAGGAACUGGUGCAAGAACAGGAUUUAUUCGUGGCACAGGAGCAGUUGGUGUCCACUGGGAGUGGAGGCAGAAGAGAGACCAGAGCGGGUAUGUUAGGAGAGAAAGCAGUGACUUCAACAGAAGUGGAGUAAAUAAAGAUGAUCACAGAACUUGGAAGCUGACGAAAUUAAUUUUGGAAAAGAGCUGGCUUGGAGCAUGACAGAAGAAUUCGAUGGAAAGAGUGCUGGGAGCCCAACUCAAGACUGAUGUGUGCUUGGCAGGCAGUCUACCCCCGAUCUCAGUCCUCCAGCCUUUCGGCCUUUUUUCCUUUUUGGAGACAGAAUUGCAUCAUAUGGCAUCCUACACAGUCCUGCCUCAGUCUCUGCAGUGCUGGGAUUGUAGGCCUAUGCCACCUAGCCUUUCUACAAUACAAACAAAUAUGAAAAGAAGAGGGACUUCUUUGGAAAGGAGUACAGGGACUAUGGAAGAGAUGAAAAGAUAAUAUUGUCAGAAAUUAUGCCGCUUUUGAAGAGAUAAACUGAACUCUUGAUUCUGUGAGGUUAUUAAAGAAUAUUAAUUUUCAAAUCACGGUAAAAUCUUGAUUCAGCAACACAUGAGGAUAAUCAUUGUGUCCAUGGAAACCUUGGGAAGCAGUUGAAAGCCUGGUCCCUCUUGCCUGGAGCAUUAACACAACGUGGCUGCAAAGUUAGUCCUUUCCCGCUACCAUCUCCUGAAUACUGGGACUAACUACACGUAUGCACGAACCUGCCCAUCUUUGCCUCUGUUAACAGCUGCCACUGUCUCUUCACGACAUGAUGGCUGACCUAGGGAAGAUAUUUUUGAAAAAGGGUUUAGCGUUUGCCAGAUCCUAUGCGUGAGUGACCUCAAAAGAGAAGAGGAGGGUACUUCUCAAUGACAAAGCAGUUGGAAGGAACAGAGCCAGUUGGCCAUGGACUGAAACUUUUGGAACUGAUUCUGAGGAGUUAAUGUUUCCAUGAAUAUCUCAGAAGGAGAUGUGGACAAACGAACAGUUAUCUCACUCCUGUAGGUUGGACUACAGUGAUCACUGAGUAGGAGCUUCGUCUUUAAAAUCUGGGGUGUGCUGUUAUGCAAUCUUCUUUCCCUGCCCAGUACUGGAUCUGUGAAAAGCUGAAUCAUGAAUCAGUGAGUGUGCGGAUUGGAACCCAAGUUGCUCUCUGGAUAGAACGAAAGGAGUCGUGCCCCAAGAAGAUGGAGAGGGAAGUUAUGAAAUGCUGUGACCAAAUAACAAAUGCUGAUGUUUGGGGAGAUAACUGUUUCCCAUAGGAAAUAGAGUGAAUGCGAUGUCUUUCUUUUGUGAGGGAUUCAUAGACCGCUUCUCAACGCUUGUUACAUGUUACUCCUUUUUUCGAGAUUUUUAUUUACCUAACUGGGAAAGAAACCAGAACAAGGUUUUCAUUGAAUUCUGAUACAGGUAUUUAAAGACUUACGGACAAGAUAUAGAAGAAGAAGUGGUAAUUAACUGAUUAAAGAAGUACAGUUUAUAUCCAGUAGACAGACAGGCUCCAGACAUCCUUAGUGCUGUCUUAGCAUCAAAGGUUAAUCUACCUAAUACUUGUCAUCCUGAAAUGCAUGGUGGAACAUCCAACAGACAAGAGCUACUUCAGGGAAGGACUAUGAUUUUUGUCGUGGAAGACAUUUAACACAGGGCAGCUCCUGUGCACUUACAUGAUAGAUAUUGCUCUUCCGGGGACUCUGAAUGCUCAUCCCACUUUCAGCUCACUAGGCACAUCGAACUAGAAAUUUUAUCAUCUCGUGAAUUAGUCCAAUACCUGAAGGAGCAAGAGAACCAACACCCAGUUGACAAGAAUAUGACCUGUUGAUUGAAGACCAUUAAGAAAGUAACUUGAUUCAGUUGGACUGGACUUUUUUAUUCUAUUGAAAAAGGAAUUUAUUUCCCCUCAGUGAACGUAACAUGAUCAACAUUUUGAAAGUUGUGAACAUGCAUAGUUCUAUAAUUUACAAAAUAAUUAUAAAAAUCUGAGUAUGGAUGCAGCAUAAUUUCAGAACAGAAUAGCCAUCAUACUUUUUAUAUAUCUUAAAUUCGAGUUUUCAAGAGUAUAUUUCUAUGUUAUAUCCUUUGAUUAGUACAAUAUAAAAUCUACAUCUAAUAUGUACUUCAGGUUUUAUUAGAUCAUGCCAUAUUACUGUACAAUUUGGACUUUUCCAUUUUUAUAUAAAAUGUAACAUGCAUUGUACAUUAAUAUUUAUAUAUCUUGUUUAUUUAUAUAUCUUUAGAAUUAAUUUCUGCCAAUUAUUUUCUUUAUUUGAAUACUUGGGGUAUCAUAAAGGUGCUGUUGAGGUAUUCUCAAUAUGCUUGUACAACUUCCUGCCUGUAGUUAAUAAAUGUGGAUAUUUCAUUAAACAAUUGAAAUAUAA